UACGUAGGGUGCAAGCGUUGUCCGGAAUUAUUGGGCGUAAAGAGCUCGUAGGCGGUUUGUCGCGUCUGCUGUGAAAUCCUCAGGCUCAACCUGGGGCUUGCAGUGGGUACGGGCAGACUAGAGUGCGGUAGGGGUGACUGGAAUUCCUGGUGUAGCGGUGGAAUGCGCAGAUAUCAGGAGGAACACCGAUGGCGAAGGCAGGUCACUGGGCCGCAACUGACGCUGGAGGAGCGAAAGCAUGGGGAGCGAACAGG
rnacentral:rRNA from 1 species